rnacentral:rRNA from 1 species
GAUGAACGCUGGCGGCGUGCCUAAUACAUGCAAGUCGAGCGAACAGACGAGGAGCUUGCUCCUCUGACGUGAGCGGCGGACGGGUGAGUAACACGUGGAUAACCUACCUAUAAGACUGGGAUAACUUCGGGAAACCGGAGCUAAUACCGGAUAAUAUCUUGAACCGCAUGGUUCAAUGGUGAAAGACGGUUUUGCUGUCACUUAUAGAGGGAUCCGCGCCGCAUUAGCGAGUUGGUAAGUUAACGGCCUACCAAGGCAAGGAUGCGUAGCCGACCUGAGAGGCUGAUAGCCCACCCGGGAGCUGGGCCACCGUCCAGACUCCUACGGGAGGCAGCAGUAGCCAAUCUUCCGCAGUGGGCGAAAGCCUGACGGAGCAACGCCGCGCGAGAGAUGAAGGUCUUCGGAUCGUAAAAAUCGGUUAUUAGGGAAGAACAAAUGUGUAAGUAACUAUGCACGUCUUGACGGUACCUAAUAAGAAAGCCCCGGCUAACUACGUG